UCGAAAGGAAGAUUAAUACCCCAUAAUAUUUAGAAUGGCAUCAUUUUAAAUUGAAAACUCCGGUGGAUAGAGAUGGGCACGCGCAAGAUUAGAUAGUUGGUGAGGUAACGGCUCACCAAGUCUGCGAUCUUUAGGGGGCCUGAGAGGGUGAUCCCCCACACUGGUACUGAGACACGGACCAGACUCCUACGGGAGGCAGCAGUGAGGAAUAUUGGACAAUGGGUGCGAGCCUGAUCCAGCCAUCCCGCGUGAAGGACGACGGCCCUAUGGGUUGUAAACUCCUUUUGUAUAGGGAUAAACCUAGAUACGUGUAUCUAGCUGAAGGUACUAUACGAAUAAGCACCGGCUAACUCCGUGCCAGCAGCCGCGGUAAUACGGAGGGUGCAAGCGUUAUCCGGAUUUAUUGGGUUUAAAGGGUCCGUAGGCGGAUUUGUAAGUCAGUGGUGAAAUCUCACAGCUUAACUGUGAAACUGCCAUUGAUACUGCAGGUCUUGAGUGUUGUUGAAGUAGCUGGAAUAAGUAGUGUAGCGGUGAAAUGCAUAGAUAUUACUUAGAACACCAAUUGCGAAGGCAGGUUACUAAGCAACAACUGACGCUGAUGGACGAAAGCGUGGGGAGCGAACAGGAUUAGAUACCCUGGUAGUCCACGCCGUAAACGAUGCUAACUCGUUUUUGGGUUUUCGGAUUCAGAGACUAAGCGAAAGU
rnacentral:rRNA from 1 species